AGUGGAAUAGCUGGGUCAAAUGGUGAUUCCAUCCCAAGUUUUUCAAGGAAUCUUCAUACUGCUUUCCAUAUUGGCUGUACCAAUUUGCAGUCCCACCAGAAAC
rnacentral:pre_miRNA from 1 species